rnacentral:lncRNA from 12 species
UUGAAAAAUCUCAGUCCUGACUCGCACAGGAUGACUGGUUUGGGGUGGGGGGCACGUCUCCCCCACUCUCUCCGGGGAACAUUAACGGAGAUGGGUCGUGUGCGGUUUCUUCGAAGAGGUUCCUUAAUUCUUCUCGGAACAGCGGGGUUAGCUCUGAUUUUUGAAGACCUCUGACCCGGCAGUCUUAGGAAUAUUUUUCUCAGUUGGGUUAGCUGCUGACAUCCCUGGAGCCCUCCCUACAAGCUGGGCGUGGUGCUUAGGGCUGUCCACCCACCGCCUUUCAUCCCCCCCCCCCAAUCCUGGGGGUGGCCAAUUAUUAUUAGUUCUAUCAUCUAGUGGAAGAAACUAAAGUUUGCAGUGGCUAAACAACUUGACCAAAGUCACACAGCUAAAAACAAAACACCAGAGCAGGCUCUGUACCGAGGUCUGCUGCUUCCUGAUGUUUGUUCCAAAGCUUUCCUGGCACUUUGGGGGCCAGGCUGUCUGUCCCCAUCUUGCAGAGCACUCAGACAAGUGAACAAGGUCAACACAGUUAGCCAAACUGGGGAAGUGGUGUUUUCCCUUUCUCUACUGAUGGCUGCACAAUACUUUGACGUCUUAUGGGGCCCACACUAACGUGUUUAGAAGAUUUCACGCUGGUAAAUUCUGGAACAAAACCAUCAAGGCGAGUUCAUCCUGCAACCUGGGGUCAUGACCGGUUUCUGAGUAUUUUGAACACUGUGUUACAAUGAGUUCGCUUCACUGCCCUGCUGGAUCACACAGUUGUAUUUGUUUUUCUUUCAUGAUCAAAACACUUAAGGCGGAGGGACGGGAAAAGACAAAGGAGGGAAGGAGCGAGGACAGAAUAAUUAAUGCAGCUUCUCCACAUCCUUUUGGAAACAGCCUCAGGGAAAAAGCCAACACAGCAACUUCUGAGACUUUGGUGUCAGAGCUCUGGACACGCACUGCCCUUGCUCCCAGUUUCCACCUCUGCCAAGCGCCCGUCCUUCUGCAUCUCCAGCUGACACUUGGCUGGAUCUCAUUCUUCUCCAAAUCGAUUGCAUCUUUCUCCGCAGCAUAAAAUAAACUUUAUUUACAUAUUUCCA